rnacentral:rRNA from 1 species
AGCGAACGCUGGCGGCAGGCCUAACACAUGCAAGUCGAACGAAGUCUUCGGACUUAGUGGCGGACGGGUGAGUAACACGUGGGAACGUGCCUUUAGGUUCGGAAUAACUCAGGGAAACUUGUGCUAAUACCGAAUGUGCCCUUCGGGGGAAAGAUUUAUCGCCUUUAGAGCGGCCCGCGUCUGAUUAGCUAGUUGGUGAGGUAAAGGCUCACCAAGGCGACGAUCAGUAGCUGGUCUGAGAGGAUGAUCAGCCACAUUGGGACUGAGACACGGCCCAAACUCCUACGGGAGGGAGCAGUGGGGAAUCUUGCGCAAUGGGCGAAAGCCUGACGCAGCCAUGCCGCGUGAAUGAUGAAGGUCUUAGGAUUGUAAAAUUCUUUCACCGGGGACGAUAAUGACGGUACCCGGAGAAGAAGCCCCGGCUAACCUCGUGCCAGCCGCCGCUGUAAUAC